GAUGAACGCUAGCUACAGGCUUAACACAUGCAAGUCGAGGGGAAACGACAUCGAAAGCUUGCUUUUGAUGGGCGUCGACCGGCGCACGGGUGAGUAACGCGUAUCCAACCUGCCCACCACUUGGGGAUAACCUUGCGAAAGUAAGACUAAUACCCAAUGACGUCUCUAGAAGACAUCUGAAAGAGAUUAAAGAUUUAUCGGUGAUGGAUGGGGAUGCGUCUGAUUAGCUUGUUGGCGGGGUAACGGCCCACCAAGGCGACGAUCAGUAGGGGUUCUGAGAGGAAGGUCCCCCGCAUUGGAACUGAGACACGGUCCAAACUCCUACGGGAGGCAGCAGUGAGGAAUAUUGGUCAAUGGACGAGAGUCUGAACCAGCCAAGUAGCGUGCAGGAUGACGGCCCUAUGGGUUGUAAACUGCUUUUAUAAGGGAAUAAAGUGAGUCUCGUGAGACUUUUUGCAUGUACCUUAUGAAUAAGGACCGGCUAAUUCCGUG
rnacentral:rRNA from 1 species